ensembl:lncRNA
GUGGAUCACCAUGCGUUCCUCCAGGGGAUCUUCCUGAUCCAAGGAUCAAACCCACAAGGAGGCCAAAUUCAACGAAACUGGAUGGUCUGGAUCUUGUAUUGGAACAGGAACCCCAAAUACAUCAAGCAUUGCCUGUUUGUGUCUUAAGAAAAUAUAGAAGCUUUGUCAGAUGCUCACAAGGAAGUCCAGAAUUGUAAUAAGAUAGCACUGCCCACUAUCAGAGGACAUCCUGAGCCAUCUCUGAGGUUCUUCCUCUGUAUCUCGAGGGUGAGUGUCCCGAGCUCCUGAUGUCUGUGACCACGUCUGUUCUCCCUGCCAUGUGCCUCACAGCUUCCUGAGCUAAUGGUUAUUUAUCCUCAGCUUUCAGCUGCCAUCCUUACGUCCACGGAGUAGAAUGGAUGGUUUUAACCUUGAGUAAUUACCAGAAAAGAAACCUUUGCAACCAAAGACUGGCAUCAAGAGAGGCCAGGACCGUUCAUAUUGACUGCAUAAAAAACAAUAGAAGGGCCCCAAAACAAUAAUUAAAU